rnacentral:rRNA from 1 species
AACGUACCUUUUGGUUCGGAACAACUGACGGAAACUUCAGCUUAUACCGGAUAAGCCCUUACGGGGAAAGAUUUAUCGCCGAAAGAUCGGCCCGCGUCUGAUUAGCUAGUUGGUGAGGUAAUGGCUCACCAAGGCGACGAUCACUAGCUGGUCUGAGAGGAUGAUCCGCCCCCUUGGGACUGACACACUGCCCAAACUCCUACGGGAGGCAGCAGUGGGGAAUAUUGGACAAUGGGCGCAAGCCUGAUCCAGCCUUGCCGCGUGAGUGAUGAAGGCCCUAGGGUUGUAACGCUCUUUUGUGCGGGAAGAUAAUGACGGUACCGCAAGAAUAAGCCCCGGCUAACUUCGUGCCAGCAGCCGCGGUAAUACGAAGGGGGCUAGCGUUGCUCGGAAUCACUGGGCGUAAAGGGUGCGUA